GACGAACGCUGGCGGCGUGCUUAACACAUGCAAGUCGAACGGAAAGGCCUGCUUUUGUGGGGUGCUCGAGUGGCGAACGGGUGAGUAACACGCGAGUAACCUGCCCUUGACUUUGGGAUAACUUCAGGAAACUGGGGCUAAUACCGGAUAGGAGCUCCUGCUGCAUGGUGGGGGUUGGAAAGUUUCGGCGGUUGGGGAUGGACUCGCGGCUUAUCAGCUUGUUGGUGGGGUAGUGGCUUACCAAGGCUUUGACGGGUAGCCGGCCUGAGAGGGUGACCGGCCACAUUGGGACUGAGAUACGGCCCAGACUCCUACGGGAGGCAGCAGUGGGGAAUAUUGCACAAUGGGCGGAAGCCUGAUGCAGCAACGCCGCGUGCGGGAUGACGGCCUUCGGGUUGUAAACCGCUUUCGCCUGUGACGAAGCGUGAGUGACGGUAAUGGGUAAAGAAGCACCGGCUAACUACGUG
rnacentral:rRNA from 1 species